UACGGGGGGAGCAAGCGUUGUCCGGAAUCAUUGGGCGUAAAGCGCGUGUAGGCGGUCCGGUAAGUCAGCUGUGAAAGUCAAGGGCUCAACCCUCGAAUGCCGGUGGAUACUGUCGGGCUAGAGUGCGGAAGAGGCGAGUGGAAUUCCUGGUGUAGCGGUGAAAUGCGCAGAUAUCAGGAGGAACACCUAUUGCGAAGGCAGCUCGCUGGGACGUAACUGACGCUGAGACGCGAAAGCGUGGGGAGCAAACAGG
rnacentral:rRNA from 1 species